rnacentral:sRNA from 1 species
UAUAGGAUCGAUCGGGAUACUCAUCAAAUUACAAUCGAAAACCGAGAUAAGCUUCGCACGUCAAUGGCGGGCCACGCCCGAGAGGGUAACUUUUUAGUCGGUGGAUUACAAAGACAUGCGGGCACUCAAAUCUUAUUUACUCGGAGUUUCAUCACAUCUCCUCCCGGCUUUUA